UCUGCCUUCCCUCUGAUCCCUGCUAAUGUUAAUGACCUUGCAAGGUCAUUGUGAAAACUAAAAAUAAUAUGUAGAGUUCGUCUCAGCCCAACCUAGUUGUUCAGUAAAGGGUGGCUAUGACCUGCCAUGACUUUUACGACUGCAGCUCCAGCUGGCCGCCGGAGCACUGGGAACUUGGCCCCCGGGUGCGCGAGGGGGCUCACCGAGACACUCAUGCAAGGACAUUUGUUGCAGCAAAAUUGGAAAACCAGGACAAAGGGAAGUCUACAAUCUCACCAGGCCUCAAAGUGUCUAAGCAAGUGCUCAGCAGAAGAUCACCAGGUUCUCUGCGGACACAAAACCAGCUUCCGGGUCUCAGUGUGGUUUUGAUGUCAGUUUGUCAGCAGUUGGGUUUGAAGGGGGAAGAGACUGCAUCCUGAAGCAGGCAGAAAAAGGACCUGCUGUCCUGUAUGAGAGGACAGAGCACAGAGGGACGCUCUUCUUAGGACCACAGGUCCCCUGACGCCAACCUUCCAUGUGUGACCACGCACCCUAGGCUUGAGCAGCGCAGUGUGGAGAAGACCACCAGGACCUGGGCCAAGAGAUGGUGCCCCAGAUGCCCGGAGUACUCUUGGGAGCAGCUGCCUUCCUCCACCCCCUGCCCUCUGCCCUCAGGCCUCCCCCUCAAGGACCUCUGCCUCCAGGCUGCCCUGCAACAACUGGGAUUACUUUGCUGUAUUUCCCUGAAUCACAGUAUUGAGGCGGCCUUGCUCCCCCCACUAGGAGGCCCUGCAGAAGCCAAAGCGUGACACGGUCGUGGCUGCUCGUUGGCUGGGAGCUGCCAGUGGGGCAUCUUUCUCAUAUGAGCACAAUUUUUAUUUGGUGACAGUUUCCUUUCCCUUUGGAAGUUGGCACAAAAUCCUCUGGACCAGGAGAUACCAUAGAAUGCUGACUAUGUAAAAUAUAACCAGACCAACUUGUUGAUAAGUCCAAGCUGAGUUUAUGCUUACAGUGGCAAAGGAGAGGACUUUUCCUCAGAGUCGGAGCAUCUCAGAGUGGGAAGGGCUAAGGAGAUGUGUUCCGUGAGACUCUGAAGUCUGACUUAAGACAGGUGUUUCAGUGUAGGGCUGGUCUGCCCUGAGGAAGGGUAAUCAUGUUGUCACUUAGGAUUGGUGGGCAAAACAGGGCAAGGAUUUUGAGAUAAAAAGUUCAAAAAAAAGUUAUAGUUAGGCUAUAACUGUCAUUUAAUGCUUCUUUAAUAAAGAGUUGCUAAGCCUUUCAUGAAGUUCUUGCAAUGAUGAAUAAAGUUAUCUGCAACUUUUAUCUCCUUGGGCAAGAAUUCCCAAGAAUAAUAGUUAGGCGUGAAUCUGGAAGAACAGUAUGUCAUAGGUAGGUAGUAGCUGUGUGGGAGGCUUGCUUCUCAAUAGCAGUAAGACCCCGUAGGGCCGCUAGUGCCUCCCCGAAUCAUCUCCCUCUGCUCAGAUCUCAUUCAGCCGCCACCACCCACUCUGUGCAGAAUCUGAAGAUGCAGAGGGUUCAGCCCACCUUCUCCCAUACUGUUUCCUUCCUCGCCCAGUUUACUGUCUGUGAGGUAAAGGGUUUCCACUCUCAUGCCCAGCCCGGCCACAUACUGUCUCUCCUUGAAGCGCCUCCGGAUCUCACGACGCAAAGUUCCUCCAGGCUCUGGACAGGCCUGAAUUCGUACACAAUGGGUGUGAGCUCUGCUCGGUGGCUCUCAUGGACAGUUGAGGAUUUUAUGUAAGAGGCAGAAUGUCAAAUUUGGGCAUGUUCUAAGGUGGCACCAAAUUUAAACGUACCUCAGAAAAUAAUUGCCUUAAUUACUUCAUCAAGGAAGGAAAUGGGGCAGAGACGCUACAUGUCUGCCAGCAUUUUCAUCCCCCUUUCGCAGCACAGAGCCGGGAUCCCAUCUCCCAGCUUUGCUUGCCUCUUCCUGUGGACAUGUGGCUGGUUCCCAUCAAGGAAUAUAGGCAGAAAUGACACUUGUCCUUCUAGUUCAGGGGUUUUAAGAAGUGGCUGUCCUUCAUAUUUCUCCUCACCCUCCCGCCAGCUUGCUUCAAAGAUGGGGAGGUCCAGGGACAUCAGGGAAGAAGCCCGUGUCUCAGGGGCACCA